AACAGCCUCAUCAACCGGAAGGUAUUCCUUCCGGUCGAUGAGGUGUAACAGCCCCAUCGACCGUAAGGGAUUCCUUCCGGUUGAUGGUGUUGUU
rnacentral:miRNA from 1 species